CCUACGGGGUGCAGCAGUGGGGGAUAUUGCACAAUGGGGGAAACCCUGAUGCAGCGACGCCGCGUGUGGGAAGACGGUCUUCUGGAUUGUAAACCACUGUCCCCAGGGACGAAAAUGACGGUACUUGGGGAGGAAGCUCCGGCUAACUAAGUGCAAGCAGGCGCGGUAAUACGUAGGGAGCAAGCGUUGUCCGGAAUUACUGGGUGUAAAGGGAGCGUAGGCGGGGAUGCAAGUUGGGUGUCAAAACUAGCGGCUCAACCGAGAGUCGCACUCAAAACUGCAACUCUUGAGUGAAGUAGAGGCAGGCGGAAUGCCUGGUGUAGCGGUGAAAUGCGUAGAUAUUAGGAAGAACACCAGUGGCGAAGGCAGCCUACUGGGCUUUUACUGACGCUGAGGCUCGAAAGUGUGGGGAGCAAACAGGAUUAGAUACCCGAGUAGUC
rnacentral:rRNA from 1 species